GAUGAACGCUAGCGGCAGGCCUAACACAUGCAAGUCGAGGGAGAAGCCCUUUCGGGGGCAGAAACCGGCGCACGGGUGCGUAACGCGUAUGCAACCUACCUUUCACAGGGGGAUAGCCCGAAGAAAUUUGGAUUAAUACCCCAUAAUAUUAUUGGAUGGCAUCAUUUGAUAAUUAAAACUGCGGUGGUGAAAGAUGGGCAUGCGUCCUAUUGGCUAGUUGGAGUGGUAACGGCACCCCAAGGCUACGAUAGGUAGGGGUCCUGAGAGGGAGAUCCCCCACACUGGUACUGAGACAGGGACCAGACUCCUACGGGAGGCAGCAGUGAGGAAUAUUGGUCAAUGGUCGGAAGACUGAACCAGCCAUGCCGCGUGCAGGAAGAAUGCCUUAUGGGUUGUAAACUGCUUUUAUAUGGGAAGAAUAAGGCGUACGUGUACGUUGAUGACGGUACCAUAUGAAUAAGCAUCGGCUAACUCCGUG
rnacentral:rRNA from 1 species